AUUAUCCGAGCUUUGCGGGCUAAGCGUAAUUGUAUGCCUGUUAAGCCGAAGCCGAAAUACAUCCAUCGGCUUAAGGGUAUCGCGGGAAACGGCGGUGCCUUCCGUGUUUGAAAAGGAGUAAAUAUC
rnacentral:ncRNA from 1 species